GAUGACAGAAGAUAGCGUAAAGUACUGUGGUGCAGUGGGAACAACGAUUUCCUUUUUGGUCUUGGCUUUUGGGAUGUUACUCUCGUUCAGUUCGCAGUAGGGGCUGAGUGGAAUUGGAUAUCAGACCUCCAAAACAAGAAAACAGGAUUUAACAUUACUUUCUACUUUAUGAGUCGUGCAUUUUAAUAGUCAUUAGACUGCAUUUUUGUAGGUGCGUUAGAUACUCAUAUAUAUCGGACGACGUGAUGUCUUUCUUAAAAUUUUUGGAAAUAUUUACUACCCUUUUUCAAAAGCUGUGAGCCCAUUAUCUGUUCAACAUGAUGCUAUGCGGCUGUUCAGUGAUAAGUGACGUCAGAAUGUGGUAAAAAUAAAGAAGUUACUGGGAUACGGGGCGUAGCCGAGUGUCUUAUAACUGCACAGACCCACAGCAACAUCAUUGGAAUCUAUACUAGUACGGAGCCAGAAAAAAAUCUCAGCAGUGACUUUAUCUAUGCGUCUUUUCUUAAACAGAUCAUGUGCAAGAACUAAUUAAUUAAAAAUGCUUGCGUAAUUCAGCUAUUAUAUAAAAGCUAAGAACAUAUGUUGGUUCAAGAGUAGUUAUCGAAUCUUGACUGUUAGCCCCACUUGUUUAGUGAGAUAAUGAAACAAAAGUGUUCUGAAAUCA